rnacentral:rRNA from 1 species
AUUGAACGCUGGCGGCAGGCCUAACACAUGCAAGUCGAACGAGUGGCGGACGGGUGAGUAAUGUCUGGAAAACUGCCUGAUGGAGGGGGAUAACUACUGGAAACGGUAGCUAAUACCGCAUACCAUCGGAUGUGCCCAGAUGGGAUUAGCUAGUAGGUGGGGUAAAGGCUCAACUAGGCGACGAUCCCUAGCUGGUCUGAGAGGAUGACCGGCCACACUGGAACUAGGACACGGUCCAGACUCCUACGGAAGGAAGCAGUGGGGAAUAUUGGACAAUGGGCGCAAGCCUGAUGCAGCCAUGCCGCGGAGAUGAAGAAGGCCGUCGGGUUGUAAAGUACUUUCAGCGGGGAGGCGUUACCCGCAGAAGAAGCACCGGCUAACUCCGUGCCAGCAGCCGCGGUAAUUC